rnacentral:SRP_RNA from 1 species
GCCAGGCAUGGUGGCUCAUGCCUGUAAUCUCAGCACUUUUGGAGGCUGAGACGGGAGGAUUGCUUGAACCCAGGAGUUCAAGACCAGCCUGGGCAACAUAGCAAGAUCUCGUCUCUA